CACUGAGAUGGAUUGGUUUCUGAAGAAAAGUGAGAAAAGAAAACCAUUAAGUUCAACUGUCACUCUUCCAACUAAAUAUUGAAACCACUUGGGAAAAAAGUUUUGAGUGAGGUUUACAGUCAGAAGCAACACUGGUGUUUUUGAGGUUUGUGCAUGAGUCUCCAUUUAGCUGUAUUUAGCUGUACCACACUCUUCCUAGAGAUGUGAUUAAGUGCCAUAUUUUGAAGCUUUCGAACGUGUUAAGCUGCUUGUUACACGGGGCUGACUCAUGCAAGGGUUCAUUUGGAUGAGUGGAUUUGUGUGUUGCACUGUGGCUUAGUGGACAGAGGAUUUGGGAGGUUGGAAUUUCCGUUCUACUUUCUCAGUGACGUGGUGCAUGAACACUAAGUAUCUGAGAACAUUAAGGUCUCUGAGUGCUUCACCUUUCAGUCUUUGCGGACCCUACAUUGGACUCGAGGGUGAUUGGCUCAGUUGUGUCACCCAUGGACUGACAAGGUUCAUGUGGCUGAUGGACCGACCUGGCUGACAAGCUGGGGAGCUGAGCAUUUGCCUUCUUUUUGGAAAGGGGAUGCCAGAGCAGAAAGUGGACUUUAAGAAAUCUGAUAAAGUUCAUAAGUUUUGGCUUUUCAAGGGCCUCAUCUCAUUUGGAAGAAAACACGAUGAAUCAGACAGAACCCCCUCUUGAAGAGAUGAUCCAUCUCGAGUAACAAAUGUUUAUCUUGCAGAAGAAAGCACAGAUAAAAACUAAAAGUAAGAGGACUGAUUUUGACUGGGAAUCCCACAGUCAACCCAUUGGUGAUCCAGAACCAAAAUUUCCAAGUCACAAAUUUUGGUUUUUGUAUUAAAUGCAAUGAUGUCAUCAUUAAGGAAAUCAUUAAAGAAAGUUUCGUGAUGCUAAGCAAAUACCAUGUCUGUCUGAUAUUCUAAAUAACAUGUCAUUUGAGGAAGUAUGAGGACUAUGAAAUACUACAACAUAAAAAGCUAUAAUUGCCACCCACUGAUGGCUGUAACAGAGGAUGUGAUGUUGAUCGCCUUGCCAAUCACUGAGACCUCCUGCUGCUAUCAGCUACUGCAAUGAAAUGUGCACACGGGGUGUCAAUCCAUGUGUCCACGUCAGAUAGCCUUCUCAUUCUCUUUACCUCUGGUGACUAAUCUCUUGGCAUAUCUGCUCCCCUUCUGCUCUCUCUACUCAUCAGGAUGGUUCUGUGCCUCACGAGUCUGUCCUCAACCCUCACCCCAGGCUGUCUGUCAUGAUUUUCAAUGUCUUCUUGGAAAUGAUCCCUUUGGAGAUGAUUAUAGUCAUGGUCCACGUGGCCAGCAAAACAGAGAAGCAGGGAUCUCGGUCCCAAGUGAACCCUUGAAGUGCAGCUUUAUUGAGAUGUGUGAAGUGACUCAGUCGUGUCCGACUCUGCGACCCCAUGGACUGAAGCCUGCCAGGCUUCUCCAUCCUUGAGAUUUUCCAGGCAAGAAUACUGGAG
ensembl:lncRNA